rnacentral:lncRNA from 1 species
UGUCAAUAUUUAUUCCAACCCUUAUGUUUUUUUUCAUCUGCAAGUUUCUACCUAUUAAGCCAGAUAGACUCAAGUUUGGAAAUAGAGAAAUAAGAUAUUAAUUAAACCCAUCGCAUAAAGUCUGAGUACCAAAAACUAGACUACAAAGAUGUUGUGUAGAAGAGGAAUGAUGAGAAAAUCCCGUCAGUCACCAAUCACAACCAGAAUUUCAUGAAAAUUUACAAGAUAAUAUGCAAUGGAUAAUUAAAUAGUAACUGAAUUUUUUAACUAAAAAAAAAGGUAAAAAAAUACCUCCUAUCAUAAAGGAUGGUAGCAUGACCAUGGAAAUCUUUAAAAUGAUUAUCAAGUAACACUAUUGAACCAAGACUAAUAUAACAAUCAGGCUUUACAAAUCACCCUUUGCAUACUAUAUUUGAUAAUUUUUUUUAAAUAUGUUCUUACUAAAGUUAAGAGUUAAUUUCCUAUAUAUUAUCUCCAUUAUUCAAGUUCUCAAGUACACAACUUAAAAGAAUAGAGUAAACACACAUAUAUGUUAGUUGCUGGAAUAUUUAUGUAAAUAAAAUGUUUACCUGCAGUUAAUUAAGAAUCCACUAUAGUAUUGAGGAAGUUUUAUUGUAUGUCUGCAUUUGAAACAAAGAAAAGGUGCAUAUUCAAUAAAUAUAUAGCGUUAAUUGUUGGAUGUAGUUUUUAUCCCUAAGACUUUAGUUGAUGUAUAGGUGUAACUUUACCUUCAAAAAGUUUCUAGAAACUGAAUCAAUUCAUUGGGAUUUUAGAUUUAAGUUGCAUUAAAUUAUGGAGAAAUACCUUUCUCUUACUCUUACUUCAGAUUGAAUACAUAAAAUUCAAAACCCCAAGUGCUUGCUAAUGACUGAAUAAGAAAAGCCAACAAAUUCAUGAAUAACAACAUCAUCGUCACCUAAUUUUCUUCCAUUUUGAUCUUCAACAUCUUCACCAUCAUAUCUUUGGCCCUUUUACAGGGUAAUUUUUCCCUCCUUUCAUUUCUUCGUUUAUCCAAAACAGAUUGAUAUACGCCCAAAAGAUUUUUCCUUAC